GCCUGGGUGGCUCAGUCGGUUGGGCGUCUGACUUCAGCUCAGGUCAUGAUCUCAUGGUCCGUGAGUUCGAGCCCCGCGUCGGGCU
rnacentral:tRNA from 1 species